ACAUGCAAGUCGAGCGGUAAGGCUUUCACAGUUUGCUGGAUUACGACAGAACGCAUCGCAUUUACGCGGUGAACACUGUCUAUUGAAUCAAGCAAAGCGUGAAAGUACACGAGCGGCGGACGGGUGAGUAAUACGUAGGAACGUACCCCAAAGUGAGGAAUAACCUCGGGAAACCGAGGCUAAUACCGCAUAUGCUCUACGGAGUAAAGCAGCAAUGCGCUUUGGGAACGGCCUGCGUCCGAUUAGCUAGUUGGUAAGGUAAAGGCUUACCAAGGCGACGAUCGGUAGCUGUUCUGAGAGGAUGAUCAGCCACACUGGAACUGAGACACGGUCCAGACUCCUACGGGAGGCAGCAGUAGGGAAUUUUCCACAAUGGGCGAAAGCCUGAUGGAGCAACGCCGCGUGCAGGAUGAAGGCCUUAGGGUCGUAAACUGCUUUUAUCUGUGACGAUUAUGACAGUAGCAGAUGAAUAAGGAUCGGCUAACUCCGUGCCAGCAGCCGCGGUCAUACGGAGGAUCCAAGCGUUAUCCGGAAUUACUGGGCGUAAAGAGUUGCGUAGGUGGCAUAGCAAGUAGAUAGUGAAAGCGUUCCGCUCAACGGAAUACACAUUAUCUAAACUGCUGAGCUAGAGAAUGGUAGAGGUUACUGGAAUUCCCGGUGUAGGAGUGAAAUCCGUAGAUAUCGGGAGGAACACCAAUGGCGUAGGCAGGUAACUGGGCCAUUUCUGACACUAAGGCACGAAAGCGUGGGGAGCAAACGGGAUUAGAUACCCCGGUAGUCCACGCCGUAAACUAUGGAUGCUAGCUGUUAUAGGUAUCGACCCCUGUAGUAGCGAAGUUAACGCGUUAAGCAUCCCGCCUGUGGAGUACGGUCGCAAGACUAAAACAUAAAGGAAUUGACGGGGACCCGCACAAGCGGUGGAGCGUGUUGUU
rnacentral:rRNA from 1 species